CGCAAUAUUAAUGCAUACCAAGCAGAUCAACAAUUCGUUCCAAUAAGGAAGAUAUCGCCCCAGCUAGCGUGCGUUUGUUUUUACCAGAGGCGCCGGUCCACGGACCACCUUGCCCUGGUUGUUGUACUGGGAUCCGUGGCAGGGGCAGAUGAACUUGUUCUCAGCGCCGUUCCACGGCACGACGCAGCCGAGGUGAGUGCACACGGCGUUGAUCCCGUAGGUGGCCAGCGUCUUGUCCUGCUCCACCACCAGGUACGUGGGGUCACCCUGCACGCGCGGCGGCGCGCACAAACACGCCGGCCGUCAGCAUCAGCACGACAGACAUGCCUGCAGCUGCAGGUGACGACGACGAUGGCGGUGGGGUGACUGACCUUGAGCCCCUGCGCGAGCGUGCGGUCGUUGGGACCGUGCGUGUUGAGCCACGCCUCCACCGUGAUGUCGUUGCCCAGCUUGUCCUUCGCGUAGGUCCCGCCGCCGGCGUUCCCGGAGCUGCGUGCAAGAUCAACAGGACGAGGUACUUUCCGUUAAGUGCUGGCUGGCAGCUAACACGUAUGUACAGCGAGCCGCUAGGUAGCGAGACGACUCACCCGGCAGGGACGAAGAAGGCGCCGUAGGGGACGACCAUGCCGACGGUGGGCAACGAGAUGGCGCCGAGGAGGAGGAGGUUCAUCAGCUUCCGCUUCUCCAUGUCGGGGACGCGGUCGGCGGAGAUGCUGCUCGCCGCCUGGCACACAAUGCUCCGCUGGGCGCGCUCGCGGCCCAUGCUCAGGC
rnacentral:lncRNA from 1 species